rnacentral:rRNA from 1 species
GAUGAACGCUGGCGGCGUGCUUAACACAUGCAAGUCGAACGAUUAAGACGGCUUCGGCCGUGUAUAGAGUGGCGAACGGGUGAGUAACACGCGACCAACCUGCCCCGCGCUCCGGGACAACCGCUGGAAACGGCGGCUAAUACCGGAUGCUCCGGGGAGGCCCCAUGGCCUCCCCGGGAAAGCCCUGACGGCGCGGGAUGGGGUCGCGGCCCAUUAGGUAGACGGCGGGGUAACGGCCCACCGUGCCCGCGAUGGGUAGCCGGACUGAGAGGUCGACCGGCCACAUUGGGACUGAGAUACGGCCCAGACUCCUACGGGAGGCAGCAGUGGGGAAUUUUGCGCAAUGGGGGAAACCCUGACGCAGCAACGCCGCGUGCGGGACGAAGGCCUUCGGGUUGUAAACCGCUUUCAGCAGGGAAGACAUAGACGGUAC